rnacentral:tRNA from 1 species
GAAAAUUUAGUUAAAUUUAUAACAUUAGUUUGUCAAACUAAAAUUAUUAUUCAUAAUAUUUUUCU